ACUUGAAUUGAAGAGUUUGAUCAUGGCUCAGAUUGAACGCUGGCGGCAGGCUUAACACAUGCAAGUCGAACGGUAGCAGGAGAAAGCUUGCUUUCUUGCUGACGAGUGGCGGACGGGUGAGUAAUGCUUGGGAAUCUGGCUUAUGGAGGGGGAUAACGACGGGAAACUGUCGCUAAUACCGCGUAUUAUCGGAAGAUGAAAGUGCGGGACUGAGAGGCCGCAUGCCAUAGGAUGAGCCCAAGUGGGAUUAGGUAGUUGGUGGGGUAAAGGCCUACCAAGCCUGCGAUCUCUAGCUGGUCUGAGAGGAUGACCAGCCACACUGGAACUGAGACACGGUCCAGACUCCUACGGGAGGCAGCAGUGGGGAAUAUUGCGCAAUGGGGGGAACCCUGACGCAGCCAUGCCGCGUGAAUGAAGAAGGCCUUAGGGUUGUAAAGUUCUUUCGGUAUUGAGGAAAGGUGAUGUGUUAAUAGCACUCCAAAUUGACCUUAAAUACAGAAAAAACACCCGCUAACUCCCGUGCCACCAUCCACGGUAAUACCCAGGGUGCAAGGGUUUAAUCGGAAUAACUGGCCGUAAAGGGCAACCCAGCUGUUUUUUAAGUUAAGUGUGAAAACCCCCGGCCUUAACCCUACCAAUUCGCUUUCAAACUUGGGUAACUAAAGAACUUUAAGGGAGGGGGAGAUCUUCCCCAUGCAACGGUUAAAAUGGUAAGAAAAUUUGACGAAAUACCAAUAGGGGAAGGUCUCG
rnacentral:rRNA from 1 species